rnacentral:rRNA from 1 species
GUAGGUGGCAAGCGUUGUCCGGAGUUAUUGGGCGUAAGGCGCGCGCAGGCGGUUCUUUAAGUCUGAUGUGAAAGCCCACGGCUCAACCGUGGAGGGUCAUUGGAAACUGGAGAACUUGAGUACAGAAGAGGAAAGCGGAAUUCCACGUGUAGCGGUGAAAUGCGUAGAGAUGUGGAGGAACACCAGUGGCGAAGGCGGCUUUCUGGUCUGUAACUGACGCUGAGGCGCGAAAGCGUGGGGAGCAAACAGGAUUAGAUACCCUGGUAGUCCACGCCGUAAACGAUGAGUGCUAAGUGUUAGGGGGUUUCCGCCCCCCUUAGUGCUGCAGCUAACGCAUUAAGCACUCCGCCUGGGAGUACGGCCGCAAGGCUG